AAAUACGGUAAGAGAGAAACCCGGAGGAAGCCUGCUCUGUGCCUGGAGGGGAUCCGCCGCCAUCUCAGGUCUCUGAUUUUCCGGGGCCCAGUGGAGAAAACUGACGCCUAGGUCCUAUCUCACUUAUGGAAGACCAGACCUGUUCCUCUGGGAGAUCUACGCUUCCACCUGGGAGCACGCGAGAAGCCAAGCCUCCAAAAAAGCGCUGCCUUCUUGCUCCGCGGUGGGAUUAUCCAGAAGGAACUCCCAACGGGAGUAACGCCACUCUCCCCCCCGCACCUCCUCCUGCAUCAGCCGGUCUGAAGUCUCACCCUCCUCCGGAGAAGUAGUGAAAUACAUGGAGUUUCCUACCCUAAACCAGUAUUCAAGGGAUUGCAGUAUGAUUCCAUUUCCUUGGUGCAUUCAUAAAAUAGUUCAUCCAGUGAUGAAAAUAAGGAUAAAUUACACUGUAACCCUGCUUUUUCUGAUGUCUAGCACCUGGAAGAUGUGAUUUUUAAGGUUCUAAUCAGCAUGAUUUCUUCUUCUGAAUUUGGAUGAAUUCUAGAACAUGAGCAAGAUCAAGUUGUAGACUUCUAAGAUUGAAGGCCAUGACCUGUAUCAUGGUGAGGUGACCAAAGCAAAUAGUGUUCAUGUGAUGGUCCUGCAGGAGCCAACCAGUGAUACUUUUUGAUGACACCAAGUCUUUGCUGUAUAAUUUAAGAUUCCAUAAAUCCACUAAGUUCCCAAUAAAUUGUGUCUCUCUUUGCUCUGUUAGAUGUAUAUGACUAUUUUCUCGUAAAAUGUGAAUUUAAAGUAAAUAUUUAAGAUUCCCAUAUAUCAAAUAUUACUAAAAUUAGUAUCAAAAUAUGACCUUUGUACAAACUACCAUCUGCUCAUUCUCUGUAGUGUGACUAUAUAAGGAAAGGUAGUGGUAAAUACAUUCUUAAAAAGGAAUUAAAUUUUUCAUAUGUUUUCUUUAAUUCACUUUAAUUUUUCUGUUAUCUAUAUUCUAUUUUAAGAAUCUUCAUCUAAUUUAUUCUUAUUACAUCUUAAUAAUUACCCUGGUCCCCAUGAUUUUGUGUCGUUUUCUUAAAACUUUCUACCUUCCAUCUAAAAUGCUUGAUAUUAAAUGUAGUACCCUAAUUAAAAACAUCUAUAAUAAUCACAGUGAAAAACUAUAAGAAUGGUAAAAUUUUAGUCUAGUUUUUAAUAUGUCACAUAAUUCAUGAAUUUGUUCAGAAAUUAGAGAUUUAUAAGAAAAUUGCAUAUAAGCUAUAUUAACUGCCUGUCAAUGAUGUAAAAAAGAGAACUUUUAUCUUGUGAAUGACAAUAAAAGAUAAAUGUUUUGUAAGCAUAUAGUGUAUCUGAAAAUGUCAUAUAAUGGGCCUGUG